CUGGCGGCAGGCCUAACACAUGCAAGUCGAGCGCAGUCCUUCGGGACCGAGCGGCGGACGGGUUAGUAACGCGUGGGAACAUACCCUUUUCUACGGAAUAGCCUCGGGAAACUGAGAGUAAUACCGUAUAAGCCCUUCGGGGGAAAGAUUUAUCGGGAAAGGAUUGGCCCGCGUUAGAUUAGAUAGUUGGUGGGGUAAUGGCCUACCAAGUCUACGAUCUAUAGCUGGUUUUAGAGGAUGAUCAGCAACACUGGGACUGAGACACGGCCCAGACUCCUACGGGAGGCAGCAGUGGGGAAUCUUAGACAAUGGGCGCAAGCCUGAUCUAGCCAUGCCGCGUGUGUGAUGAAGGUCUUAGGAUCGUAAAGCACUUUCGCCAGGGAUGAUAAUGACAGUACCUGGUAAAGAAACCCCGGCUAACUCCGUGCCAGCAGCCGCGGUAAUACGGAGGGGGUUAGCGUUGUUCGGAAUUACUGGGCGUAAAGCGUACGUAGGCGGAUCAGAAAGUAGGGGGUGAAAUCCCAGGGCUCAACCCUGGAACUGCCUCCUAAACUCCUGGUCUUGAGUUCGAGAGAGGUGAGUGGAAUUCCAAGUGUAGAGGUGAAAUUCGUAGAUAUUUGGAGGAACACCAGUGGCGAAGGCGGCUCACUGGCUCGAUACUGACGCUGAGGUACGAAAGUGUGGGGAGCAAACAGGAUUAGAUACCCUGGUAGUCCACACCGUAAACGAUGAAUGCCAGUCGUCGGGCAGUAUACUGUUCGGUGACACACCUAACGGAUUAAGCAUCC
rnacentral:rRNA from 1 species